rnacentral:rRNA from 1 species
UACGUAGGCAGCAAGCGUUGUUCGGAGUUACUGGGCGUAAAGGGUGUGUAGGCGGUUGCUUAAGUUUGGUGUGAAAUCUCCCGGCUCAACUGGGAGGGUGCGCCGAAUACUGAGUGACUAGAGUGCGGGAGAGGAGAGUGGAAUUCCUGGUGUAGCGGUGAAAUGCGUAGAUAUCAGGAGGAACACCGGUGGUGUAGACGGCUCUCUGGACCGUAACUGACGCUGAGACACGAAAAGCGUGGGUAGCAAACAGG